rnacentral:rRNA from 1 species
UCACACUGCCAAGAAAAGCUUCUAGUGAGAAAGUAACUGCCCGUACCGCAAACCGACACAGGUAGUUGAGGAGAGAAUCCUAAGGUGUGCGAGAGAACUCUCGUUAAGGAACUCGGCAAAAUGACCCCGUAACUUCGGGAGAAGGGGUGCUGACCGCAAGGCCAGCCGCAGUGAAUAGGCCCAAGCGACUGUUUAUCAAAAACACAGGUCUCUGCAAAAUCGAAAGAUGACGUAUAGGGGCUGACGCCUGCCCGGUGCUGGAAGGUUAAGAGGAGAGGUUAGCGCAAGCGAAGCUUUGAAUUGAAGCCCCAGUAAACGGCGGCCGCAACUAUAACGGUCCUAAGGUAGCGAAAUUCCUUGUCGGGUAAGUUCCGACCCGCACGAAAGGCGUAACAAUUUGGGCACUGUCUCAACGAGAGACUCGGUGAAAUUAUAGUACCAGUGAAGAUGCUGGUUACCCGCGACAGGACGGAAAGACCCCAUGGAGCUUUACUGCAGUUUGAUAUUGCGUGUUUGUAUCACAUGUACAGGAUAGGUAGGAGCCGAAGAUACCGGGACGCCAGUCUCGGAGGAGGCAACGGUGGGAUACUACCCUUGUGAUAUGACCACUCUAACCCGCUGCUCUUAGCGAGCAGGGAGACAGUGUCAGACGGGCAGUUUGACUGGGGCGGUCGCCUCCAAAAAUGUAACGGAGGCGCCCAAAGGUUCCCUCAGAAUGGUUGGAAAUCAUUCGUAGAGUGUAAAGGCAGAAGGGAGCUUGACUGCGAGACCUACAAGUCGAGCAGGGACGAAAGUCGGGCUUAGUGAUCCGGUGGUUCCGCAUGGAAGGGCCAUCGCUCAACGGAUAAAAGCUACCCUGGGGAUAACAGGCUUAUCUCCCCCAAGAGUUCACAUCGACGGGGAGGUUUGGCACCUCGAUGUCGGCUCAUCGCAUCCUGGGGCUGUAGUCGGUCCCAAGGGUUGGGCUGUUCGCCCAUUAAAGCGGUACGCGAGCUGGGUUCAGAACGUCGUGAGACAGUUCGGUCCCUAUCCGUCGCGGGCGUUGGAAAUUUGAGAGGAGCUGUCCUUAGUACGAGAGGACCGGGAUGGACACACCGCUGGUGUACCAGUUGUUCUGCCAAGAGCAUCGCUGGGUAGCUAUGUGUGGACGGGAUAAACGCUGAAAGCAUCUAAGCGUGAAGCCCCCCUCAAGAUGAGAUUUCCCAUCACUUUAAGUGAGUAAGACCCCUGAGAGAUGAUCAGGUAGAUAGGUUGGGAGUGGAAGUACAGCGAUGUAUGGAGCGGACCAAUACUAAUCGGUCGAGGACUUAACCG